UAGUAAUGGCAGGUCAGCAUACUGCCGUGAAUACGUUCCCGGGCCUUGUACACACCGCCCGUCACACCAUGAGAGUUGGGAAUACCCGAAGCCUGUGAGCUAACUUUUAGAGGCAGCAGUCGAAGGUAGGAUCAAUGAUUGGGGUGAAGUCGUAACAAGGUAGC
rnacentral:rRNA from 1 species